rnacentral:lncRNA from 1 species
UUUCUAAACAAAACCCUUUUGGUAGAAUGCUAAAGGUAAGAAGUUCCCAAAGUCAUCAAUCAAUGUUUAAGAAAGUUAUUGUCAUGAUGAAAACUCAUCCGCUAAUAACAUCCCUAAACAGAGUCUCGUUUGGGUGAGGCCUUCGUAUAGUCCCAAAGAGGAAGACUCCUAGUGGGUCCAUACUACACAACUCUCGAGUCCAAGGUUCUAAUAAGGUUCUCAGAGUCAUAGAUCGAGGUUGGGAAUACCACUGUAAG